rnacentral:rRNA from 1 species
CAGCAGCCACGGUAGUACGUAGGGUGCGAGCGUUAAUCGGAAUUACUGGGCGUAAAGCGUGCGCAGGCGGUUAUAUAAGACAGAUGUGAGAUCCCCGAGCUCAACCUGGGACCUGCAUUUGUGACUGUAUAGCUAGAGUACGGUAGAGGGGGAUGGAAUUCCGCGUGUAGCAGUGAAAUGCGUAGAUAUGCGGAGGAACACCGAUGGCGAAGGCAAUCCCCUGGACCUGUACUGACGCUCAUGCACGAAAGCGUGGGGAGCAAACAGGAUUAGAGACCCCCGUAGUCCCUGUCUCUUAUAC